rnacentral:tRNA from 1 species
CCACCGAUAGCUCAGCGGUAGAGCGGAGGACUGUAGAUCCUUAGGUCGCUGGUUCGAAUCCGGCUCGGUGGA